rnacentral:rRNA from 1 species
CANGUAGGACUACCCGCUGAACUUAAGCAUAUCAAUAAGCGGAGGAAAAGAAACUAACAAGGAUUCCCCUAGUAACUGCGANUGAAGCGGGAAAAGCUCAAAUUUGAAAUCUGGCAG